rfam:Papilio machaon contig30747, whole genome shotgun sequence.
GGUAACGUGGCCGAGUGGUUAAGGCGACUGACUCAAGAUCUGUUUAUCUUUGAUAGCGUGGGUUCGAAUCCCACCGUUACCA